UAAGCGGAGGAAAAGAAACCAACAGGGAUUGCCCCAGUAACGGCGAGUGAAGCGGCAAAAGCUCAAAUUUGAAAUCCUGCGGGAAUUGUAAUUUGAAGGUUUCGUGGUCUGAGUCGGCCGCGCCCAAGUCCAUUGGAACAUGGCGCCUGGGAGGGUGAGAGCCCCGUAUGGCGCACGCCGACUCUUUGCACCGCGGCUCCGACGAGUCGAGUUGUUUGGGAAUGCAGCUCUAAGUGGGUGGUAAAUUCCAUCUAAAGCUAAAUAUUGGCGAGAGACCGAUAGCGAACAAGUACAGUGAUGGAAAGAUGAAAAGCACUUUGAAAAGAGAGUGAAACAGCACGUGAAAUUGUUGAAAGGGAAGGGCUUGCAAGCAGACACGGUUUUACCGGGCCAGCGUCGAAAAGGGGGGAGGAACAAGAACUCGAGAAUGUGGCGCGCACCUUCGGGCGCGCGUGUUAUAGCUCGUGUUGACGCCUCCAUCCCUUUUCGAGGCCUGCGAUUCUAGGACGCUGGCGUAAUGGUUGCAAGCCGCCCGUCUUG
rnacentral:rRNA from 1 species